AGCGUAAUCACUUGUUCUUUAAAUGAGGACUCGUAUGAACGGCUUCACGAAUGCUAUACUGUCUCCUUUAUCCAAUCAGUUAAACUAAUCUCCCCGUGAAGAAGCGGGGAUUCACCUAUAAGACGAGAAGACCCUAUGGAGCUUUAAACACUCUUAAACAUUUGAACCCUUUAUUAUUUACCUCCAGAAAACUUCACUAAACCCCCUCAUUUUGUUUAAACUUUUAGGUUGGGGCGACCACGGAGAAAAACCUAACCUCCACGUGGAAAGAAACUUAAUUCUAAGCAAAAAGCCACAUCUUUAUGCAUCAAUAAUAUUGACCUAAAUUGACCCAAUUAUUUGAUAAACGAACCAAGUUACCCUAGGGAUAACAGCGCAAUCCGCUUUAAGAGCUCCUAUCGACAAGCGGGCUUACGACCUCGAUGUUGGAU
rnacentral:rRNA from 1 species